rfam:Danio rerio chromosome 6, GRCz11 reference primary assembly.
GCUCCAGUGGCGCUAUCGGUCAGUGCGCGGUACUUAUAAGACAGUACAAUGAUUAGCAAUGCCGAGGUUGUGAGUUCGAGCCUCACCUGGAGCA